rnacentral:rRNA from 1 species
AUUGAAUGCUGGCGGCAUGCUUUACACAUGCAGGUCGAACGGCAGCGCGGGCUUCGGCCUGGCGGCGAGUGGCGAACGGGUGAGUAAUGCAUCGGAACGUGCCCAGUAGUGGGGGAUAGCCCGGCGAAAGCCGGAUUAAUACCGCAUACGACCUGAGGGUGAAAGCGGGGGACCGAAAGGCCUCGCGCUAUUGGAGCGGCCGAUGUCGGAUUAGCUAGUUGGUGGGGUAAAGGCUUACCAAGGCGACGAUCCGUAGCUGGUCUGAGAGGACGACCAGCCACACUGGGACUGAGACACGGCCCAGACUCCUACGGGAGGCAGCAGUGGGGAAUUUUGGACAAUGGGGGCAACCCUGAUCCAGCCAUGCCGCGUGCGGGAAGAAGGCCUUCGGGUUGUAAACCGCUUUUGUUCGGGAAGAAAUCCUCUGGGCUAAUACCCCGGGGGGAUGACGGUACCGGAAGAAUAAGCACCGGCUAACUACGUG